ACUCAAAUGAAUAGACGGGGACCUGCACAAGCGGUGGAGCAUGUGGUUUAAUUCGACGGUAAGCGAGGAACCUUACCAAGGCUUGACAUAUACCUGCAUACUCUGGAAACAGGGUAGCCUUCGAGGGUGGUAUACAGGUGCUGCACGGUUGUCGUCAGCUCGUGCCGUGAGGUGUUCACUUAAGUGUGAAAACGAGCGCAACCCCUAUUAUGAGUUACAAGUGUCUCAUGAAACUGCCCGCGUUUAAGCGGGAGGAAGGUGGGGAUGACGUCAAAUCAGCGUGGCUCUUACGCCUUGGGCGACACACGUGCUACAAUGGGAAACAACAGAGGGACGCCAAGUCGCAAGACGGAGCAAAUCCCAGCAAAAUUUCCCCCAGUUCGGAUUGAGGGCUGCAACUCGCCCUCAUGAAGCCGGAAUCGCUAGUAACCGUGGAUCAGCCUCGCCACGGUGAAUACGUUCUCAGGUUUUGUACACACCGCCCGU
rnacentral:rRNA from 1 species